UCUCUCGCUCCGGUCCCCUCCCCCAAGUCUCUCUCUCCAUUUGGUUCUCGCCGGAGAGCUUCAUCACCGCAGAAUGGUCCGAGGGAGACAGUUGCCCCCGGCAUCUAAAUCCCGGCGGCAACGCUCUCCAUUGGCCCCGGCUCCGGCGUCUUGGGCGUCAACGGCAAGCUCCGCUGCCACGUAUGCAACUUAUGGAUAUGGGAGGAUGUUUUGAAUCAAUGUGUAUGCGAUGUGGCCGGCCUGCUUACUGCUCAAUCAGCGGAGAUGCCUUCAAUGUCAAAUAUGCAAGCUAAGCAUAUGGGAGGACGCUCUGAACCAGUAUGCACAAGACAUGCUGAAUCUCUGAAGGAGGAGGUUCAACACAUAUCAGAUAUGGCUGUCAGUUCCGGCUAACUGAUGUGUUGUUUUAGUUU